rnacentral:rRNA from 1 species
UUAAGCUAUAAAGAGCAUGGGGCGGAUGCCUUGGCACUGAGAGCCGACGAAGGACGUGACAAGCUGCGAUAAGCUGCGGGGAGGAGCAAAUAUCCAAUGAGCCGCAGAUUUCCGAAUGGGGGAACCCACUUAAGAAAACCUUAAGUAUCCAUACGCCAAUACAUAACGUAUGGAAGGGAACCCGGGGAACUGAAACAUCUAAGUACCCGGAGGAAGAGAAAGAAACAUCGAUUUCCUUAGUAGCGGCGAGCGAAAGGGAAAGAGCCCAAACCAGGGAAUUUAUUCUCUGGGGUUAGGACUGCAUAAGUGAUUUGCGAAUGAUAGGAGAACGGUCUGGGAAGUCCGGCAGGAAAGCGUGAAAGCCGCGUAUCCGAAAUCAGAAGCAACAUGGCAGGAUCCAGAGUACCACGAGACACGAGAAACCUUGUGGGAAAGAGCGGAGACCACUCCGUAAGGCUAAAUACUACUCAGUGACCGAUAGCGCAUAGUACUGUGAAGGAAAGGUGAAAAGGACCCCGGGAGGGGAGUGAAAGAGAACCUGAAACCCUGUGUUUACAAGCUGUCGAAGCACUUUAUAUGUGCGACGGCGUACUUUUUGUAGAACGGUCCGGCGAGUUAUGGCAUGUGGUGAGGUUAAGUACUUAAGGUACGGAGCCGGAGCGAAAGCAAGUGUGAAUAGCACGACAAUCGCCUGCCAUAGACCCGAAACCGGGUGAUCUAUCCAUGUCCAGGAUGAAGCUGCCGUAAAAGGCAAUGGAGGUCCGAACCCACAUCCGUUGAAAAGGGUGGGGAUGAGGUGUGGAUAGGGGAGAAAUUCCAAUCGAACCCGGAGAUAGCUGGUUCUCCUCGAAAUAGCUUUAGGGCUAGCCUCAUGUUAGUCUGCCGCAGGUAGAGCACUGAAUUUCCUAGGGGGCGUCAAAGCCUACCGAAGAAUAUCAAACUGCGAAUGGCGGCCAGAUGAUGCAUGGGAGUCAGACUGCACGAGAUAAGUUGGGUGGUCAAAAGGGAAAGAGCCCAGACCUACAGCUAAGGUCCCAAAGUAUGUGUUAAGUGGAAAAGGAUGUGGGAUUUCAAAGACAACCAGGAUGUUGGCUCAGAAGCAGCCAUACAUUAAAAGAGUGCGUAAUAGCUCACUGGUCGAGAGGUCCUGCGCCGAAAAUGUCCGGGGCUGAAACACAACACCGAAGCUUAGGAAUUGCACGAAAGUGUACAUUGGUAGAGGAGCAUUGACAGUGGGACGAAGCUGUACCGGUAAGGAGCAGUGGACUGCUGUGAAGAGAGAAUGCCGGAAUGAGUAGCGAGAUUGAAGUGAGAAUCUUCAAGGCCGAAUAUCCAAGGUUUCCAGGGUAAAGCUGAUCUGCCCUGGGUAAGUCGGGGCCUAAGGCGAGGUCGGAAGACGUAGCCGAUGGACAACAGGUUGAAAUUCCUGUACUGCAUUAAACCAGAACUGUGGGGACACAGGCGGAAAGCAUGAGCCGGAAAAGGAAAAUCCGGUACAAGCGCAGGAGGGGUCACAUAGGAAAAACCGUGUGGCAACCCGGAGGCGUGACGUGGAGCGAACCAAAGUAGCGAAGCAUGCGGGCCGGCUGUCGAGAAAAGCCGCUAUAGUGUUUAAUGUACCCGUACCGUAAACCGACACAGGUGGAUGAGGAGAGAAUCCUAAGGCCGGCGGGAGAAGCAUUGUUAAGGAACUCGGCAAAAUGACCCCGUAACUUCGGGAGAAGGGGUGCUCUUAGAGAUAAGAGCCGCAGAGAAUUGGCCCAAGCAACUGUUUAGCAAAAACACAGGUCUAUGCAAAACCGAAAGGUGAGGUAUAUGGGCUGACGCCUGCCCGGUGCUGGAAGGUUAAGAGGAGAGGUCAGAGCAAUCGAAGCCUUGAAUUUAAGCCCCAGUAAACGGCGGCCGUAACUAUAACGGUCCUAAGGUAGCGAAAUUCCUUGUCGGGUAAGUUCCGACCCGCACGAAAGGCGUAAUGAUUUGGGCACUGUCUCAACGAUACACCCGGUGAAAUUGAAAUACCAGUGAAGAUGCUGGUUACCUGCGCCAGGACGGAAAGACCCCAUGGAGCUUUACUCCAGCUUGAUACUGGGAUUCGGUAUUGCAUGUACAGGAUAGGUGGGAGACAAAGAAGUGAUGACGCCAGUUGUCACGGAGUCGAUGUUGGGAUACCACCCCUGCAGUACUGGGUUUCUAACCUGCGGCCGUGACCCGGCCGGGGGACAAUGUCUGGCGGGGAGUUUGACUGGGGCGGUCGCCUCCGAAAGGGUAUCGGAGGCGCUCAAA